CAGUAGAAGAUAGAGAGAGAAAAUUAUAAAAGAGAGCUAGAGAGAGAAUCACCAAAAUCUGCAAAAACCAGUGUCUUUGAAAUUCCACACUACAAAAUUUCAAUCCUUUCGUUCCCUUUCCAACAACCGUUGAUUUCAAUUUUCAAUCUCGUUCGUUAUCAUUCCCAUAGGUGAAAACACGUUAGGGUUCCGUUAGAACUUCGUAAUAACUUAUUCAUAGAAGCACUUUCAAAAACGAAUUUCUUCUUCGUUUUAAUUCUUGUGUUAAAUUUAAGGUGAAAUACGAAGCGCGUGUUGUUUCGUUUUGCGGUUUUGUAUGAGAUAUAGGAUAUCGUAUUUGAUGGAUGAGAUCUGGGAAAGAGCCGUUGAAACGGCGUUAGAAGGCGAAAAGGAUCACGCUUCCGCUAAAACGCUAACACUUGACGGCGCCGUUAAGUGCGUUCAAGGACGGUUACCACCACCGAGCCUUCUAGAAAGAUUCCAGAACCUUCUUCACCUUUCGAUUGCGAACGUCGGCGUUUCGUCUCUGGAGCAGUUCCCGAGGCUCCGGAGUCUUCAGAAAUUGAACCUCUCCGACAACAGGAUCGCCGGAGGACUCGAGUUUUUGGUUCAGGCAGGCCUCGAUUCGCUUCGAGACCUCGAUCUAUCGAACAAUCGAAUUCAGUAUAUCGAGGAUCUCGCGCCGCUUGCGCAGUUGAAGCUUGUUUCGUUGGAUCUGUAUGAGUGUCCUGUUACACGUGUUAAGGAUUAUCGAUCUAGGGUUUUUGGUUUGAUUAAGUCUGUGAAGUAUUUGGAUAAGAUGGAUGCGGAAGAGAAUGAGAGACCGGAGUCUGAUGAUGAGGAGGAAGAAGAGGAGGAUGAAGAGGAAGAGGAAGUAGAGGAAGAUCCAGGGAGUGGUGAGGUUGAUGGCGAAGAGGAUCGACCUUUUGGGAUGAUGAAUGGACACAGUGAAGGUGCUGAUGGAGUUGUUGAUGCUGAUGAGGAAGAGGAGAGUGAUGCGGAUGAGGAGGUGACGGAAACUUCGAGAGGGAGAGUGAAUGGGUUCAACCAUCAGGAGAAUGGGUUUCAUGUUGCUCCUGUUGUAGGUGGUGAUUUGGAGGACGAGGAGGAGGAUGAGGAUUCUGGGGAGGAGAUUGAUGAAGAAGAGGGUGAUGAGGACGACGAUGAUGUUGUUGAGGUUCAUGAGAUUGAGGAUAGUGAUGAUGAAGAGGAUGUAGUUGAGUUUGAUGAGGAUGAGGACGAUGAUGAGGAUGAUGAUGAGGAGGAGGAAGAGGUGGAUAAUGAUGAAGGGGAUUUUGCUGAACCUGAGAGUACUUCUGGACGGUUGGUGAGUACUGAAGGGGAGAUUGAUGGACAUGAGCAGGGGGAGGAAGAUGGAGAUGAAGAUGACAAUGGGGAGACUGGCGAGGAUGAGAUGGGGGUAGAAGUAGAAGAUGAUGACGAUGAGGAUGAUGGAGAGUUUGAAGAUGACGAUGAAGAGGAAGAUUAUGGUGCUGGAUAUCUUGUUCAGCCAAUUGGACAGCCCGAGACUCGCAAUGGUGGGGGUGCUGACAUUGAUGAUGGGGAAAACCUGGAUGAUGAAGAGGAGGAAGAGGAGGAGGAAGUUGAUGAUGAUGACGAUGAUGUUCAGGAGGUGUUGCCCCCUGCCUCUUCAAACCCCAAGAGGAAGAGGGACAAUGAUGAUGAAGAAGAUGAUGAAGACGAUGAAGAUGAAGAAGCAUUCUCAAAGCCAUCCAAGAAGCAUCAUUGACAUUGACCAACACCAUUAUAAAUUAUGUCAUGUUCUUGUUCUGUGAUGGCUUCCAAGUAUUGGAAGCAGAGAAACCUCAGUUUAGAUGAAAAACAAUGGUGUGUGUUGACUUGUAAAGGAGCUGGGUGAUGAUGCUUGGAGGGAAGCAAAGGGUGCGAACCUUUUAAAAAUUUCCUCAAAACCUCUAGUUUAAUGAAGCACUUUUUGGCGGCAGAAAAAAGGAAAAGCUUUUGUAAAAAACACAUGUAGAUAUAGCAGUUCAUAUGAAAAUGAUUCCUAUCAAGCAAGUUGGGUGCCACUGUAAUGACGUGGCCAGUCUCUGUUAAAUUUAUUGAGCUUGAUGACAAUAUAUAUAUAUUUGAGGCGAAAAUAUUGGUCCCGUCGUAGUAGUCAAUUGCCAGGUAAUAAUGUACCAAUGGGCCCCUCGAUAUGUGUAUAAGCAAUUGUUUUACUAAUGUUUUACUAUAUCUAAUAAAAAAGGGAGGGAAAUUAUUUUCUUUUUUAUCUCCUCAGUAAGCAUCCAACAUCGCACUUCUCCAUCAAUCAUUCACAUCUUAAUUUUACAUCUCGCCACGUGGGUUUGUUGUGUUUUUCAUCUUCAAAUGGACGGAGCAAUUGUGAAAGUUCGCGUGAGCCACACGCUGUUUUUGUGCGAAGCAUUGACAUCAAGCCUAGCUGAGACAAGGUGUGGACUUCUUUCGAUUUAAUCCCAGUUCUUGUCCGAAAGCAUAUAUAUCUUGAGAUGGUACAACAACACAAAAAGCUGCCUAUAUUUAUCUAAAUGGCAUCAAAUGUAUACACACAAUUUUUUUGUAUAAAUUUAACUAAUUAAUAACAAUUUCGAUAAAAAAAAUUACGAUUAAUAACA